AUGGCGUUCAACGACGACGAGAAGCCUCCUGCUUCUAACGCAGGUAACACCAAGGGUCUGGUGACCAUCACCGAGCCCAAGUUCAGCAAGGACGCGGCGGCCCUGUCGGCGGACGAGGUGACGGCGGUGGUAGAGCUGAAGGCCACCUCGUCGACGGCCGUCCGGGAAGGGCUGGACCUGGUGGCGGUGCUGGACGUGAGCGGCAGCAUGCAGGGCGACAAGCUCCAGAGCAUGAAGAUGGCGAUGCAGUUCGUCAUCAUGAAGCUCACCCCCGUCGACCGCCUCUCCGUCGUCUCCUUCUCCGGCUCCGCCACCAGGCACUGCCCGCUCCGCUCCGUCACGCAGCAAGCGCAGGCCGACCUCAAGGCCAUCGUCGACGGCCUUGUCGCCAACGGCGGGACCAACAUCAAGGCCGGCUUGGACACCGCCCUGGCCAUCGUCGCCGGCCGGGCCACCACCAAAGCCCGCACGCCCAAUGUCUUCCUCAUGUCCGACGGCCAGCAGAGCGACGGCGACGCCAGGCAAGUCGAUCCCGGGAACGUGGCGGUCUACACGUUCGGCUUCGGCAAGGACGCCGACCACGCCCUGCUCAGCGACGUCGCCAAGAAGUCCCCCGGCGGCACGUUCAACUCGGUGCCGGACGGCGGGAACGUGAGCGCGCCCUUCUCGCAGCUCCUCGGCGGGCUCCUCACCAUCGUCGCGCAGGACGUGCAGCUCACGCUCACGCCCAAGGCGGAAGAUCCCACUGCCCCGGACCUGGACACCAUGACGGUGGCGCCAGGGACCGACUACACGCAGACCACCGACGGCGACACGGGCGUCAUCACCAUCAAGUUCGGCACCCUCUUCAGCGGCGAGACCCGCAAGGUCGCCAUCAACUUCAAGCUCCUGGAGAGCACCUUGACGACGGCGUACGACGGAUUGGUGGCGGAGGCCCAGCACAGCUACACCGUGCAGGGCAGCUUGCAGGGGCAGACCCCGCAGGACGUGGUGAUACCCCGCUCCCCGGACGCGCCCGCCGACCCGCCCACCAGCGGCAAGGCGCAGGCGGUGCUGGCGGAGAUGGCGCGUCGGCAGCACGCCGGCGCGAUCGGCGAGGCGAGGCAGAUGGCCGACGGGAAGAACCUGGAGGAGGCGCGGUACAAGCUGGCGGACGCGCAGAACGCGCUGGAGGACAUCGUGCUGAACGACGGCGAGAAGCUGGUGGGCAUGCUCCGCGCGGAGCUGCAGCAGCUGCUGGACCUGAUGGAGACGCAGGAGCUGUACGAGGCGGAGGGGCGGCCGUACGCGCUGGCCUCCGAGACGUCGCACGGCCGGCAGCGGUACGCGGCCAGGGGCGGCGACAUGGACGCCGUGCGGCUGUUCGCCACCCCGCGCAUGGACACGUACCUGGAGCAGGCCAAGAAGUUCGAGGAGGACCCCACGGCGCCGCUGCCGUCCGCCGACGACGACGCCAAGGAGGAGAUGGCCGCCAACCCGCUCGCCGCCAUCUCCGCGCCCAUCGCCUUCUACAUCAAGGUGGCCAUCCAGGCGCUGCAGGAGAUCGAGAAGCUCGUCGCCCCGCCCACCAAAUAG
rnacentral:rRNA from 1 species